rnacentral:sRNA from 1 species
GCCAGGCAUGGUGGCGCAUGCCUGUAGUCCCAGCUACUCGGGGGGCUGAGGCAGGAGAAUUGCUUGAACCCAGGAGGCGGAGGUUGCGGUGAGCCGAGAUUGCGCCACUGCACUCCAGCCUGGGUGACAGAGCAAGACUCUGUCUCAA